rnacentral:rRNA from 1 species
GUACACACCGCCCGUCGUUGCUACUGAUGGUAUGGUAACAGAGGCUGGAAGAGAGACGCCUUCUCUCGGGUCGGUGGUUUCUAAUCCAUCCAAUGUUGUCAUGCUAGAAGAAGCAAAAGUCGUAACAAGGUUGCUGUAGGUGAACCUGCAGAAGGAUCA